AUGAACGCUAGCGACAGGCCUAACACAUGCAAGUCAGGGGCAGCACAAGGAGCAAUCUGAGGUGGCGACCGGCGCACGGGUGAGUAACACGUAUGCAACCUGCCUGUAAGCGGGGAAUAACCCGUUGAAAGACGGACUAAUACCGCAUAAUACUAAAUUACUGCAUGGUAAUUUAUUUAAACAUUUAUGGCUUACAGAUGGGCAUGCGCAUGAUUAGCUAGUUGGAGAGGUAACGGCUCCCCAAGGCAACGAUCAUUAGGGGUUCUGAGAGGAAGGUCCCCCCACACUGGUACUGAGACACGGACCAGACUCCUACGGGAGGCAGCAGUGAGGAAUAUUGGUCAAUGGACGAGAGUCUGAACCAGCCAAGUCGCGUGCAGGAAGAAUUGUCCUAUGGAUUGUAAACUGCUUUUGCAGGGGAAUAAAGUGAGCCACGUGUGGUUUUUGUAUGUACUCUGCGAAUAAGGAUCGGCUAACUCCGUGCCAGCAGCAGC
rnacentral:rRNA from 1 species